UAAAGGUUUGGUCCUGACUUUUCUAUCAGCUUUGGCUAGACUUACACAUGCAAGUAUCCGCGCUCCCGUGAGAAUGCCCUAUAAUUUCCUGCUUGGAAAUAAGGAGCUGGUAUCAGGCACAUUUCACUAUUAUGCCCACGACACCUUGCUUAGCCACACCCCUAAGGGUACUCAGCAGUGAUAAACAUUGAUACAUAAGUGAAAACUUGACUCAGUUAAAGCCAAAAGGGCCGGUAAAACUCGUGCCAGCCACCGCGGUUAUACGGGGGGCCCAAGUUGAUAGAAGCCGGCGUAAAGGGUGGUUAAGAGCAAAUUUAAAAUUAGAGCCGAAUGCUUUCCUGGCUGUUAUACGCAUCCGAAAGUAAGAAGUCCAAUUACGAAAGUAGCUUUAUAUAAUCUGAACCCACGAAAGCUAAGACACAAACUGGGAUUAGAUACCCCACUAUGCUUAGCCAUAAACAUUGACAGUAUACUACAUUUUCUGUCCGCCUGGGAACUACGAGCGUUAGCUUAAAACCCAAAGGACUUGGCGGUGCUUUAGACCCACCUAGAGGAGCCUGUUCUAGAACCGAUAAUCCCCGUUCAACCUCACCCUUUCUUGUUCAUUCCGCCUAUAUACCACCGUCGUCAGUUUACCCUAUGAGGGAUGAAAAGUAAGCAAAACUGGUACUACCCAGCACGUCAGGUCGAGGUGUAGCGAAUGGAAGGGGAAGAAAUGGGCUACAUUCUCUUGAUUUAAGAGAACUACGGACGGUACACUGAAAACAUGUACCCGAAGGAGGAUUUAGCAGUAAGUGGAAAAUAGAGCGUUCCACUGAAGCCGGCUCUUAAGCGCGCACACACCGCCCGUCACUCUCCCCGAAAAUCCGCCUUUUAUUAACUAAACACAUUUAAACAAUAGAGGGGAGGCAAGUCGUAACAUGGUAAGUGUACCGGAAGGUGUACUUGGAUAAAC
rnacentral:ncRNA from 1 species